AGUGAACGCUGGCGGCGUGCUUAACACAUGCAAGUCGAACGAGAACGGAUUAUAGCUUGCUAUAAUUGUCAGCUAAGUGGCGCACGGGUGAGUAAUGUAUAGGUAAUAUGCCUCUUACUAAGGGAUAACAAAUGGAAACGUUUGCUAAUACCUUAUACUCCUUAUUAACAGAAGUUAAUAAGGGAAAGAUUUAUUGGUAAGAGAUUAGCCUGUAUUGUACCAGUUAGUUGGUGGGGUAAUGGCUUACCAAGACUAUGACACAUAACUGGUUUGAGAGGAUGAUCAGUCACACUGGAACUGAGACACGGUCCAGACUCCUACGGGAGGCAGCAGUGGGGAAUAUUGCACAAUGGACGAAUGUCUGAUGCAGCAACGCCGCGUGGAGGAUGACACAUUUCGGUGCGUAAACUCCUUUUAUAUGAGAAGAUAAUGACGGUAUUAUAUGAAUAAGCACCGGCUAACUCCGUGCCAGCAGCCGCCGUAA
rnacentral:rRNA from 1 species